ensembl:snoRNA small nucleolar RNA, H/ACA box 38B
CCCUCUUAUUAAGGUGUGUUUUUGGUUUCCUGUCUUUGAACACAAAAGAAUUGGAGAAAAAGAAGUGUGGAUUUGGAGAAGUCUGGGGCCAUCUUGCUCUUUCACACUCAGGAUCAGCCAUCCCACAAAG